rnacentral:rRNA from 1 species
UACGGAGGGUGCAAGCGUUUAUCCGGAUUCACUGGGUUUAAAGGGUGCGUAGGCGGGUAAGUAAGUCCUGGUGAAAUCUCUGAGCUUAACUCAGAAACUGCCUGGAUACUAUUUGCCUUGAAUAUUGUGGAGGUGAGCGGAAUAUGUCAUGUAGCGGUGAAAUGCUUAGAUAUGACAUAGAACACCAAUUGCGAAGGCAGCUCACUACACAAUCAUUGACGCUGAGGCACGAAAGCGUGGGGAUCAAACAGG